rnacentral:tRNA from 1 species
ACCUGGGUGGCUCAGUUGGUUGACCAUCUGACUUCAGCUCAGGUCAUGAUCUCCUAGUUCAUGGGUUCGAGCCCCAUAUCUGGUU